CAAUAGCUAACACGCGUGGUCACCCACUCUGCAAAAAUUCUCUCCCUUUUGAGCGGCCUCGGAAGGGGCAUUACCGAAUAUCACUUAAGGAGCUUAAAGUAUAUGACCUUCAUGAAACGUACAUGUAUUGUUCUUCUAGCUGUUUGAUAAAUAGUCUGGCAUUUGCUGGGAGUUUGCAAGAAGAGAGAUCCUCAACUCUGAACCCAGAAAAACAUAAUGAGGUUCUGAAUAUGUUUGAAGGGUUGAGUUUGAACUCUAAAGUGAACAUGGGAAAGAAUGGAGGUUUAGGAUUGUCCAAGUUGAAGAUUCAGGAAAAAACCAAUACGAAAGCUGGGAAGUUUCCGUAGAUGAAUGGAUUUGGUCCCUCAAAUGCUAUUGAAGGCUAUGUCCCACAGAGAGAUCGCGAUUUGAGACCCCGACAAGUGAAGAAUCCUAGAAAGAAUCUGAACCCAAGCGCGAAGAAGCAAAUGAAUUAGACAUCAUAUUCAAUGAUAUGAACUUCUCAAGUAGUAAAAUUACACAAGAUGAGUACAGCAUUUCAAAACUACCGGGUCCAAGAAAAAUUGUCCCCCAUAUCAAAGGUGAAGAUCCAAAAGGAAAAGUGAGUCGUGAAGAUGCAAGGGAUGAGGAAAGCACUGUGCAAAACCCAGCUGCUACAGUGGGAAGCAUACUAGAAGCAAAAUUGUAUAAAUCUGAUAAAAACAAGUCUGGGGAUGACAAGCUUAAUGUGCUAGAAGUGUCCCCUGGAAAUAGGCAAAAUGAUCAUAGCAGAAAGGCGAUGAAGGAAGAAACAGACUACAACCAUGGGAAGUUAUCUACAGCUACUUCCACUAAGCUCAAAUCUUAUUUAAAAACUUCAGAUGAGAAAAAAGCAAUCCGCUCUGCUACUUGGGCUGAUGAGAAUGCUCCCAGCGAGGGGUAAAACCUUUGUGAAUUCAGAGAAUUAGAUGAUAAGAAAGAAGUUGUGGAAUCAAACUCCAGAGACGUGGAAGUGGGUGAAGAGUCGUAUAGAUUUUCAUCAGCAAAAGCCUGUGCAAGUGCUCCAAGCCAAGCAGCAGAAGCUGUUGCAUCUGGAAAGUUUGAUGUAUCUGAUGCAGCGGGAGUUAUUAUAUUACCGCCACCUCAUGAACUGGAUGAAGCUGAACCUCAACAAAAUGGUGAUGUUAUGGAUACUGACCCAUCUGUUUUAAAGUGGCCUUCAAAACCUGGUUUUACCAAAUCAUGAUCUGUUUGACUUUGAGGAUUCUUGGUAUGAGAGUCCCUCGGAGGGUUUUAGUUUGACUUUAUCACUUUUUUCAACAAUGUGUGGCUCUUUUUGCCUGGAUAUCAUCAUCCUCUGUGGCCUAUAUAUAUGGACGUGAUGUAAGUAUCAUGAAGAAUAUUUAUCCAUCAGUGGGAGGGAAUAUCCUCACAAGAUUGUAAUGAAAGAUCGUCG